rnacentral:rRNA from 1 species
GACGAACGCUGGCGGCGUGCUUAACACAUGCAAGUCGAACGGAAAGGCCCUGCUUGCAGGGUACUCGAGUGGCGAACGGGUGAGUAACACGUGGGUGAUCUGCCCUGCACUUCGGGAUAAGCUUGGGAAACUGGGUCUAAUACCGGAUAGGAGCCAUCUUUAGUGUGGUGGUUGGAAAGUUUUUUCGGUGUAGGAUGAGCUCGCGGCCUAUCAGCUUGUUGGUGGGGUGAUGGCCUACCAAGGCGGCGACGGGUAGCCGGCCUGAGAGGGUGUACGGCCACAUUGGGACUGAGAUACGGCCCAGACUCCUACGGGAGGCAGCAGUGGGGAAGAUUGCACAAUGAGCGCAAGCCUGAUGCAGCGACGCCGCGUGGGGGAUGAAGGCCUUCGGGUUGUAAACUCCUUUCGCUAGGGAAGAAGCUUUGUUGUGACGGUACCUAGAUAGGAAGCACCGGCUAACUACGUG